AAGAGCAGAACCCCUAAGCUGUGCCUGACCGGGCAGAAGGAUCCUUCUCUCGUCACUGCUUUGUUCCUGAACUUCUGAGAGCCACAAUAUGUUAGAAAAUUCUCAGGUCCAGCACAGCUGGUGGAUAACUGUGAAGCUUGGAGUGGCUCUGGAUGCUGGACAGCCCUGAAAUGCAGGAAGCCAUUUCUGAUUCUCAUCUGCCAAGUGAUGCCUGCUCUCCUUUGUGCCUGGGAUUCGUGGCCAAGUAAAUAAUGCUGAAGAACAAAGCCACUUUCUCUGCCUGCCACAGGGCAGGGAUGCGAAGAGAGCAGCGAAAGAGAAGGGUGGUUACGAGGCAUGGACAAAGGCUGCGAGACAGACUCCCUCCUCAGAGCCUCAGAAUCGCUGUGGAGAUGAACUCCAUGAGCAUGCAAACAGAGUUUGCACGAUCCACAGGGAGCGCUCCUUUUUCCGAGAGCUGCGGCAAAACAAGCCUGAUACUUCAGCAGAUUUUGAGUGUCAGGCUGAGCUGCAGUCCUGUCUGUGUGACUGAUGCCUCUGAACAACCUUUUCCUCCACCUCCUGCCUUGCCUUUCCCAGGACUCCAGAACCUGCUGUAUUAAUACUACCGUGCCGUUAUCGUCCUGAAGCUGAGAUGCCACGACCAGACAGUCCCAGAGGGAGAGAGCAGAUGAUCCACUGUCAGCUUUGUCAUGUCUGCCACAUGGAAUUUGAAAGUGAGACCACACCUGCAAUACUUCGUCCAGUUUGGGGCUCCCCAGUUCAAGAAAGACAGAGACCUGUUGGAGAGAGCCCAGUGGAGAGCCAUUAGGAUGACUGGGGUACUUGAGCAUCUCCCCUAUGAAAAGAGACUGAAAGCCCUGGGGCUGUUUAGUCUGGAGAAGAGAAGACUGAGAGAUCUGAUCAAUGUGUACAAAGAGUGGAGGGGUAGGUAUCAAGUGAAUGUGGCCAAUCUCUUUUUAGUGGGCAGAAGCAAGAAGAUGAGAAGCAACAGAUACAAACUGGAACACAGAAGGUUUCACCUCAACAUCAAGAGAAAUUUCUUCAUGGUGAGGGUGACCGAGCAGUGGAACAGACUGCCCAGAGAGGUUGUGGAGCUCCUUCCUCUUGAGACUUUCAAAACCAACCUGGAUGCAUUCCUGUGCAGACUACUCUUGGGGAUCCUGCCUUGGCAGGGAGGAUGGAGUGGAUGAUCUCUGGAGGUCCCUUCCAACCUCUAAGGUUCUGUGAUCUUCUUAAACUGUUAUUAAAUACACUGUUACUAAAUGUUAUGUAAAUCAUUAAUAAUUGCAUCCAGGAUUAAAAAUACUGCCAUGCAAGUACUCUUUCAUUGGUAAUGAACAAAGACAAUGAUGAUACAAUGGCUUUUAUUGCCACAGAUGUACUGGAAAAGCAGAACUUUGACACUUUUUGCUGAGUAGAAAGUUAUUAAAUCUGAAGGGAAAAGUCACCCCUAGCUAUAAUGAGCUUUUUGAUCCAGCAACUUCUAAAAGGCAGCCUGCACUUUACCUGACUCAUAUAUUAAAUAA